rnacentral:rRNA from 1 species
GACGAACGCUGGCGGCGUGCUUAACACAUGCAAGUCGAACGGUGAAGGGACCAGCUUGCUGGUUCUGGAUGAGUGGCGAACGGGUGAGUAACACGUGAGUAACCUGCCCCCUUCUUCUGGAUAACCGCAUGAAAGUGUGGCUAAUACGGGAUAUUCUGGGUCUGUCGCAUGGCGGGCCCGGGAAAGAUAUUGCUUCGGUGGGGGAUGGGCUCGCGGCCUAUCAGCUUGUUGGUGGGGUGAUGGCCUACCAAGGCGGUGACGGGUAGCCGGCAUGAGAGGGUGGACGGUCACACUGGGACUGAGACACGGCCCAGACUCCUACGGGAGGCAGCAGUGGGGAAUAUUGCACAAUGGGCGCAAGCCUGAUGCAGCGACGCCGCGUGAGGGAUGGAGGCCUUCGGGUUGUAAACCUCUUUCGCCAGUGAAGCAGGCCUGCUCCUUGUGGGUGGGUUGACGGUAGCUGGAUAAGAAGCGCCGGCUAACUACGUG